AUUUCUGAAUGAAGUUUCAGUUAUUUGGGCAACAUUCACAUUCCAGUGUAGUAACACAACAUGUAGUUAGUUAUUUGGCCAUUUGUUCUUAUAGAAACAUUUUUUGAGGAAUCAUAGUUGAAAUUUAUAAGAACUAAUUCUGAGGGAAAUAUGAUUGAAAGAGCAUUUCCCCUUAUAGUUGAGCAGAGGUUAUGAGAUGACUUACUGAAGAAGGGACUACCUUAUUCUUCAUAGUACUGUUAUUUUAAAACAGCAUUUUUUAAAUUCCUUCAAAUGUUUUACUUUUUGCUACUCUGGGAGAAAUUAGAGGUUCUUAGUUAACUAGGUAAUGCUAACUAAAUUCUAGGUUUUCUGUGCAUUGAUACUGUUAAUGGCAGGAAAAGCAUUCUGGUUAGCAGGAAUUCAGAAACUCUGAAAAGUCAUUUUUAUCUUUUUCCACAGCUUAGGAAUUUAGAUAACUAGAGCAAUAGAUUCCAAGAGGUUUUGCAGAAAGAAAAUUAUUUUUGUUGUAUUGAAUGCAAAAUUUUUCUUUUAUUUUUUAUUUUAUGUAAUUCCAAGUAUGUCAAAUUGAAAAUGAUUUCAAUUGAAAUUUUAAUUAUGAAAAAUUAUUCCAGGAAAAGCUAAAAAAUAAUGUCUUUGUCCCUACCCAGGUUUAGCCAAACUGCAAGGUUGAGAACACUGUCCUCCAGACUGCCAAGUCUGCCCAAGACUUCUUAACCCAACUUCAAGGAGUUAGGUUUCAGCUACAAAGUUAGAGGAAAGAGCCCACACAAGACUCUGCUCUUACUUCUGACACCAACUGCAGCUAGAUGUUGACAUCCUGGGCAACUUUCCAAGACAGAUUUUGAAGAUGGUGAAGUUUCUAUCAGCCAGGGUCCCUGCAUGGUUGCAUGGAACAGAUCCCCCCAACCCUAUCCAGCCACCUAUUGAACUUCAAUGAACAAGAAAUAACUAAGUAUUUGGUUAAGUCAUUGAGAUUUAGGGUGUUUAUCUGUUGCUGCAGCUAAGGAUUAUUCUAAUACAUAUAUGAUGUGUGGUUGGGAUCUAAACUAGUUUUUCCAAGAUGAAUAUUGUUCUAAUGCUUUUUUGAGUAGUUGGGUCAUCCUUUCUCUGUUGAUUUGAAAUGUCACCAUAUAAUCACAGCAACGUUCCUAGGACUUGCUCUCUUUUCUGCUUAUCUGUUUCUCUGGUAAAAUGUAAUAUUUUAAAUUAGAAUAGCUUUGUAUUUUAUUUAGACACCCAGUAGCCUUGUUUACUCCUCAGUCUUUAUUUUUUUUUUCAGAAUUUUCUUGGCAAGUCUGCUUCCAUGAGUGGGCCUACAUUAUAGAAUUGUAGAAGAAAUGAUACGAACAGGAGCAAGUUCAGUAGCCUAAGCACCACCUGUGAUAAAGGAGAGAUCUGCAGGCCCUAUGAAAUUUUUAAAGAUUGGAAAUACAAGGAACAGAAGAAUGAAUUAAAUGACACCACCAGGAUACAAUCUGCAAACUCUACAAUGUGGAAAAUUCUAUGAGACAGUGACUGGUUGAAUAAGAAAGAACUAGGAUUUUCUCACUCUUGUAAAGAUGAGCUUCCCUCCUGAAAUGCCCUAGUCAAGGCUUCAUGAAACAGAAGGCAGGGUGAGAGUGAGCAUGCCAUUUAGACUUGCCAAUAGGGGAGGUGAAUAAUCUUCAAAGGGAGAGCAAGGUAGCAUGACUUCUUUCUGGGAGAAUAGCCAGCCCUUAGAUACUGAGAAUAUGGGGUUCACUUAAUAAAAAACAAGGUGGGUGAACAGUUUGGAAAGGAAAGUUAUGAGUUGGAUCCCAUGUAUGUUGAUUCUAUUAAUCUUUUUGCUGAACAUAAAUUUGCUUUCUGGCUCCCAGUAAUCUUCUCAUUGACAAUAUCCAUCCUAACUCACUCCCUUCCUCUGGAGUUAUCAUUGUCCAUGCCCCCA